ACGCCUGCCCAGUGAACAAUUAAACGGCCGCGGUACCCUAACCGUGCAAAGGUAGCAUAAUCAUUUGUCUACUAAUUAUAGACCUGUAUGAAAGGCAAAAUGAGGGUCUAACUGUCUCUUAUAGUACAUCAAUUAAACUGAUCUCCUAGUAAAAAAGCUAGGAUUAAAACAUAAGACCAGAAGACCCUGUGAAGCUUAAACUAAACUAUUAAAACUAAUAAUAACUACUUUCGGUUGGGGCGACCUUGGAAAAAAAAAGAACUUCCAAACAACAUAUUAACCAUAAAUAUCAGGCUUACAUGCCAUAUUACGACCCAGCAAGACUGAUAAUUGAAACAAGUUACUCCAGGGAUAACAGCGCAAUCUUCUUCAAGAGCCCAUAUCAAAAAGAAGGUUUACGACCUCGAUGUUGGAUCAGGACAUCCUAAUGGUGCAGAAGCUAUUAAGGGUUCGUUUGUUCAACGAUUAAUAGUCCUACGUGAUCUGAGUUCAGACCGGA
rnacentral:rRNA from 1 species